GUGCUCGCUUCAGCAGCACAUAUAUUAAAUUGGAACGAUACAGAGAAGCUUAGUAUGGCCUCUGCACAAGGAUGACACACAAAUUCAUGAACCGUUCCAUAAAAGA
rnacentral:snRNA from 1 species